rnacentral:rRNA from 1 species
UACGGGGGGAGCAAGUGUUGUUCGGAUUUACUGGGCGUAAAGGGCGCGUAGGCGGUCGUGACAAGUCACUUGUGAAAUCUCCGGGCUUAACUCGGAACGGUCAAGUGAUACUGUCGGACUAGAGUACAGAAGGGGCAACUGGAAUUCUCGGUGUAGCGGUGAAAUGCGUAGAUAUCGAGAGGAACACCUGCGGCGAAGGCGGGUUGCUGGGCUGAUACUGACGCUGAGGCGCGAAAGCCAGGGGAGCGAACGGG